UACGUAGGGGGCAAGCGUUGUCCGGAUUUAUUGGGCGUAAAGAGCGUGUAGGCGGCCAGACAAGUCCGUUGUGAAACUAGAGGCUUAACCUCUAGACGUCGAUGGAAACUGUUUGGCUAGAGUCCGGAAGAGGAGAAUGGAAUUCCUGGUGUAGCGGUGAAAUGCGCAGAUAUCAGGAAGAACACCCGUGGCGAAGGCGGCAU
rnacentral:rRNA from 1 species